rnacentral:rRNA from 1 species
GACGAACGCUGGCGGCGUGCUUAACACAUGCAAGUCGAACGGAAAGGCCUGCUUUCCCUUGUGGAUUGCGGGUACUCGAGUGGCGAACGGGUGAGUAACACGUGAGUGAUCUGCCCCCAACUUGGGUAUAAGCCUGGGAAACUGGGUCUAAUUCCCGAUAGGACUGCAGGGUGGUGCCUGUGGUGGAAAACGAUUUUCUAGUGGUUGGGGAUGAGCUCGCGGCCUAUCAGCUUGUUGGUGGGGUAAUGGCCUACCAAGGCGGCGACGGGUAGCCGGCCUGAGAGGGUGGACGGCCACAUUGGGACUGGGAUACGGCCCAGACUCCUACGGGAGGCAGCAGUUGGGAAUAUUGCACAAUGGGCGGAAGCCUGAUGCAGCGACGCCGCGUGGGGGAUGACGGCCUUCGGGUUGUAAACUCCUUUCGACCGCGAGGAAGCCACCUGGUUGGAAGGGUGGUGACGGUAGUGGUAGAAGAAGCACCGGCUAACUACGUG